GCGGGUUGUUAAGGAGCUACUUCCGGUCGCUCGCUGGCAGUUGAUCACCAUAAAUGGGUCACAUUGGACUUGGCUGAUCGGAGUGGAGAAUUCAAGAUUGUUUAGCUACAAAACGGUAAUUUAUUCCAGGAAUCAUGGGGGACAACUUAGCACAUGAAGCUGAACUAAAUGGUUUGAUAAAAGAGUAUUUAAAGUUUGCGGCUUUUGUGGAAACUGUGAAUAUGUUUGAUAAGGAAUGCAAAAGCAAGGGAAAGGCAAUCCCAAAACCACCAAUGAGCGCUGACCAAGAUUUUAAGACUUCACACAUUCAGGGAGAUUUGCUUAAAGCGUUUGAAGAUGGAAACAGAAAUGUAUUUUUCAAACUGUGGGAACAGCAUAUUUCACCUCGAGUUAGAGAUGAUGAGCAACUGCCCCAGAAAUUGGAGUUUUACCUUCAUGUUCAUUUUGCCAUCUUUCCUCUGAAAAAUUCUGGAAAGCCUGACAAAGAUGAUGUGGAUGAAAGAGUAUCGCAUUUCAAAAACUAUCUAGAAACCAGAGGUGCUGCAUUAAGUCAGACAACAGAGUUUUUACCCUUUUAUGCACUGCCAUUUGUCCCCAAUCCCACAGUGCACCCCUCUUUUAAGGAGCUUUUUCAGGAUUCGUGGUCUCCUGAAUUGAAAAUGAGACUGCAAAAAUUUCUGUCUGCAAGUUUGAAAGUGAUCAAUGUCCCAAAGCUGAUGUCUUUAUUUAAAGAAAAUGGACAGAAUUCCAAAGAAUUGUUGCAACAACUUCAGCAACAGUUAGUAGAGACUGAGAGAAAAGCAGCGACAUAUAUUAAAAGAUACAGCAAGAUGCAAGAGGAUUACCACAGUCUGAUUGGAGUCACUGCAGAGCUGGUAGAUUCCUUGGAAGCUACAGUAAAUGGAAAAAUGAUCACACCAGAAUAUCUUCAGAGUGUCUGUGUGCGACUGUUUAGCAACCAAAUGAGACAAAGCAUUGACUUCACAAGACCAGGAACUGAUGUUUACUUUAAGAGCCCUUGUAACAGUGAAGGAUCUGCAUCAUCCAUGCUGAGGGCAUCCAUCGUUCCUACCACGAAAUCUAAAGAUGUACCUUUAUUACCAUCUCUUGAUUAUGAAAAGUUGAAGAAUGAUUUGAUCUAUGGAAAUGAUCGACUUAAGGCACUUCUUUUGCAAGCACUGCGUUGGCGGCUGACACAGUCUCAUCCUGGAGAGCAAAGGGAUACAGUUCUUCAGGCUUACGUUAGCAAUGAUCUGCUGGAAUGUCACAAUAAGAGCCAGAGAAGCCUAAUUAAUUUGUUAAAUUCAAAGAGUGAGAUUGUCAGACAGUAUACAGCACGACUAAUCAAUGGUUUUGCAUCGCUGUCACAUGGCCGAACGUAUUUGGCGCAGAGCACAGUGUUAUUGAAGAUACUUGAAGAAGCACUGGAGAUUGAAGAGGAGGAUUCCAUAACUAGAGAAAAUGUGUUAGGAGCCCUACAGAAACUUAGUCUCAGACGAGCACUGCAGUCAGCUAUGGUCAGAGAUAACAUUAUUUUCUGGCUGCUGAGCGUACUGGAGGAUUCGGAUUCAUUGUCAGAUUACACUUUGGAAUAUUCUGUUGCACUGUUUAUGAACCUCUGCCUUCGGACCCAAGGUAAACGGAAAUGUGUAGAAGAUGCAAGACGAGUGUUGAAAGUAUUGUCUGAUCUUUUGGGUCAUGAAAAUCAUGAGAUAAGGCCAUAUGUUAAUGGAGCUUUAUACAGCAUCCUUGCCAUCCCUUCAAUACGUGAGGAGGCAAAAGCAAUGGGCAUGGAAGAAAUUCUGCGAUGUUUUAUUAAAGAAGGGAAUACUGAGAUGAACAGACAGCUUGAGUUUAUUAUAAAGCAGCUCAAUUCAGAGGAGUUGCUUGAAGAAUCAGAUUCUGAUGAUGAAGAGGAAGAGGAUGAUGCUGAAGAUGAUCAGGAUGCAAUGGAAGCGGACCUGGAUAAGGCUGAAAUAUUAAAACCUCAGCCUGGAGAGUUAUCAGGUGAAAAAUUACUGACAGCUGAGUAUCUAGGGAUAAUGACAAACACAAUGAAGGCUAGGAGGAAGCCACUGCCACUUUUGAAUGAAAGUGUUGAUGAACCUCUCCGGCGACCAGUUACACCUAGCAUGCACAGAGUGGGUUAUACAUCGUUAGGAGCUGCUCUAAAUAAACAUGAAAGCAGAAGCCCCAGCACAGGGAGCAACCUCUAUUCGCGGCAGAGCAUUCGGCCACCAACUCGAAGUGGGAGCAGAACAAGCGUUUCCGAGCUUGGUGCUUCUCCUGUCAGCAAUAACUGAUUGAAUGCUAAGCAUCCAAGACAAUAAGAAUCUGAAAUUUCUUACCAACACUGCAAGACAAUCAAUCAAAACUCCAAGCUUUCAAUCCAACAUUGUAGCCAACUUCAUUCUACCUUCACGAGCUGCACUCUACAGAUGAUAUUUAUGUCCUCCCAACAGGACAGGAACCAGUUUUGAUCGCAACACAUCACAGUUGGGUUCUCCAGUUGGUGAUUUUGAUCAGGAUCUAACAGCAGCUACAAGUUUGUUAGGUAUCAGGUCUUUUGACAGAUUGAGUCGACAGUCUAUCAGGCAAAAUGAUUAUGAAGUUGCAUUUGACAGUAGGCCCAGGAUUCCUAGGACUCCAGAUGUUUCUACUAGCCCAAGAAAGAUCAAAACUCCAACAAUUGCCCCUCAGUUUUCUCAGUCUGGUCCGCAACAGACAAGCCGUCCAAGUUCUGGAGGGUCCUCUAACAGAAGCAAACAGAGCAGCCAGUCAUACAGGAAAUGACAAUGGAUCUUUCCUCAGGAAUCACCUGCUGAAUUCUUCAAUAUGUGGCCAACUUCCUGUAAAGAUCCUCCUCAUCACAUACUGUCUACAGAACUGGAGUUACAAAAUUAAAUAAAAGAGAGAUUAUGUUGUCCGUACACAGCAUGUAUUUUUUGUAUUCCAUAACAGAAUUCUUUGGCAAUAAUUCCAGAAAUGUAAAUAAUGUAGAAUAAUUUAUCCCUUUGUUCUUUAUUAUGCUUUCGUAAGUGGUAUUUUUAUUUUGAGAAGGUCUUAAAUUUUGUGUUUGAGUUUUGUUCAUUUGUUUUGUAAUGCUUUUUGUGAGGAUCUUUUAUUAUUUCCUUCAUAUUGUUGUGGUAAUGAAAUGAAUAAAAGAUCAUUGCUCUGAAAGUGCAGCACAA